UACAGAGGUCUCAAGCGUUGUUCGGAUUCAUUGGGCGUAAAGGGUGUGUAGGUGGCGCCGUAAGUCGGGUGUGAAAUUUCGGAGCUUAACUCCGAAACUGCAUUCGAUACUGCGGUGCUUUGAGGACUGGAGAGGAGACUGGAAUUCAUGGUGUAGCAGUGAAAUGCGUAGAGAUCAUGAGGAAGACCAGUGGCGAAGGCGGGGUCUCUGGACAGUUUCCUGACACUGAGACACGAAGGCCAGGGGGGAGCAAAACGGGG
rnacentral:rRNA from 1 species